AAUCAACGCUGGCGGCGUGCCUCAGACAUGCAAGUCGAACGAUUAAACUUCCCUUCGGGGAAGAUAUAAAGUGGCGCACGGGUGAGUAACACGUAAGUAAUCUACCUUCGAGUGGGGAAUAACGUCCGGAAACGGACGCUAAUACCGCAUAAUGCAGCGGCAUCUAUGAUGACAGUUGUUAAAGAAUUUAUUCGCUUGAAGAGGAGCUUGCGGCAGAUUAGCUAGUUGGUAAGGUAACGGCUUACCAAGGCGACGAUCUGUAUCCGGUCUAAGAGGACGGUCGGACACACUGACACUGAAUAACGGGUCAGACUCCUACGGGAGGCAGCAGUCGGGAAUUUUGGGCAAUGGGCGAAAGCCUGACCCAGCAACGCCGCGUGAAGGAUGAAGUUCUUCGGAAUGUAAACUUCGUAAGAAUGGGAAGAAUAAAUGACGGUACCAUUUGUAAGCUCCGGCUAACUACGUGCCAGCCGCCGCGGUAAUAC
rnacentral:rRNA from 1 species